rnacentral:rRNA from 1 species
AGCAUCGGAGCUUUACCAUGCAAGUCGAACGGCAGCGCGAGAGAGCUUGCUCUCUUGGCGGCGAGUGGCGGACGGGUGAGUAAUAUAUCGGAACGUGCCCAGUAGCGGGGGAUAACUACUCGAAAGAGUGGCUAAUACCGCAUAGCCCUACGGGGGAAAGGGGGGGAUCGCAAGACCUCUCACUAUUGGAGCGGCCGAUAUCGGAUUAGCUAGUUGGUGGGGUAAAGGCUCACCAAGGCAACGAUCCGUAGCUGGUUUGAGAGGACGACCAGCCACACUGGGACUGAGACACGGCCCAGACUCCUACGGGGAGGCAGCUGAU